rnacentral:rRNA from 1 species
GUCCAGACUCCUACGGGAGGCAGCAGUGGGGAAUAUUGCACAAUGGGGGGAACCCUGAUGCAGCGACGCCGCGUGGGUGAAGGAGCACCUCGGUGCGUAAAGCCCUCUCGGCAGGGAAGAAAAGCGAACAGGUUCGCCUGGACGGUACCUGACUAAGAAGCCCCGGCUAACUACGUGCCAGCAGCCGCGGUAAUACGUAGGGGGCAAGCGUUAUCCGGAUUCACUGGGUGUAAAGGGAGCGUAGACGGCGACGCAAGUCUGGAGUGAAGGCCCGGGGCCCAACCCCGGGACUGCCCUUGGAACUGCAUGGCUGGAGUGCGGGAGGGGCAGGCGGAAUUCCUGGUGUAGCGGUGAAAUGCGUAGAUAUCAGGAGGAACACCGGCGGCGAAGGCGGCCUGCUGGACCGCGACUGACGUUGAGGCUCGAAAGCGUGGGGAGCGAACAGGAUUAGAUACCCGCGUAUC